GUGCUUGCUUUGGCACCACAUCUACUAAAAUUGGAAUGUUACAGAGGAGAUUAGCAUGGCCUCUUGCUCAAGGGAUGACACGCAAAUUCGUGAAGCAUUCCAUAAUUUU
rnacentral:snRNA from 1 species